rnacentral:lncRNA from 1 species
AGAGAAGAACAGACCUAGGAUAGACUCUUAAGAGCUUUCAAUUCCACAAAGAAGUUGUCAUCUUCCACAGAGUACAGCCAGCUUUCCGUGCAAUUGGAAAGGAGUUCUGUCAGAUCCACCUUACAAGUUCUUUUAAGACUUUCCUGUAAUUGUACUUGUUAUCGCUGAAGUAUUUAAGAACAUUUAAUUUUUUAUUUUUUUCCAGGAUGAGAUUUUAGAUAACACAAAGAAGUAAUCAGAAUUAGUGUACGGGUCAGUACCCUGAAUUCUGUAGUUUGUCUCUGAAGAAGGAAGAUUUCCAGAUGGUAAAGAAAGUGAUCUGACGUAUUAGAAAGGAAGAGUUGUAGGAGCUAAAGGAACUACGGCAGAGGGAGUGACACCCCUAUCUGAAUAUUUUUGAGCAAUGGGAAAGGCAUAGUUCAGGCUCAUCAAUAUACAAUCUGCGCUGGUUUAAUACGUGACAAGGAGGCAAGCCAGCAGUGGAGAACAGCAAUGGAUAUGAUGCAUUUAAGCAAGCAAGAGAAAUUAAGGACGAAAAGGCGGAAGAGUUUCUGAAAAAUCAGGUAAGGAGUUUGGGUGGUUCUCUACAAAUGUG